CCCACCAAUCUUAUAUGUUAAACAAUCUCUCUCUAUUUCUUUAGGGUUAAUCUUCUCAACAGAUUUAGUCGAACAACGGUUGCCUUUGUCGCGGAUGCCAAUCCAUAAACGUUGGUUUCCUGAAGGGUAUUAUCCGCCUAUUCUCCUUCCGUUUGCACAAGCAGAUGAAUAUUUUGGCCGAUUUGAAGGACCUCAAAUUCGUGAGAGGUUCUUCCAUUUCUCGUCCGAGUCAAUCGCAAGACUAAAAGCUAAAGCAAACAAGGAAAACAAUAAUUACACCAGCAAAAUAUCAUCCUUUCAGGUAAGAUUGAAGUUCGGAUUGCUGCAGCUCUUGAAGCAGCUUAAAUGGCGGUUUUGGAGUUGUUGGGGGAAGCUACAGAUAAUUAGUAAAACUUUAAACAAAUGAGGUCGUCGUUGAGGAAGCUUUGAUCUUACUGCUAUUACUUUUCAGGAGUGUUGCAUCUAUUGAGUUCCUAUGCUUGAGGUUUGAAGAGAAAGCGUUGUUGAAAUACGGUAUAUCAUGAGUACAUAAUUUUUAACAUGAGUACAUAAUUUAGAUUAGUAUAUACGAAGUAUGUUUUAUUUCAUUUUGUUAGGAACUGACCCAUGGAACGAUGACAAUUUAUGGAAGACGGUAAAUCGGUGAUUGAUUAUCUAUUUUGUCUUAUUUCCUUUCUUUUUAAAGUAUUGUUUGCCUUUAAAAUGAAGGAAUCGAUGUGUAAGAAAGCUUACAUGAACGGAGAUAAAAUUAAUGUAAAAUGUUUAUUACUUCACAUUAUUAUUUAUAUUUUUUUUACAUAAAAUAGAUUUUUUUCAGUCGUGCAUCGCACGGGCGCUAA